UACGAAGGGGGCUAGCGUUGCUCGGAAUUACUGGGCGUAAAGCGCACGUAGGCGGAUCUUUAAGUCAGGGGUGAAAUCCUGGAGCUCAACUCCAGAACUGCCUUUGAUACUGAGGACCUUGAGUUCGGGAGAGGUGAGUGGAACUGCGAGUGUAGAGGUGAAAUUCGUAGAUAUUCGCAAGAACACCAGUGGCGAAGGCGGCUCACUGGCCCGAUACUGACGCUGAGGUGCGAAAAGCGUGGGGAGCAACAGGGAUUAAGAAACCCCCG
rnacentral:rRNA from 1 species